CCUGCCAGUUGUCAUAUGCUUGUCUUAAAGAUUAAGCCUUGCACGUCUAAGGAUAAAUAUUUUUUAACCGUAAACCUGCGGAUGGCUCAUUAAAUCAGUUACAAUCUACUCUAUUGUAUAAAUUACUUGGAUAACCGUAGUAAUUCUAGAGCUAAUAUUGCAAAAAAUUUGAACUCCUGAGGGAACAAAUGUAUUUAUUAGGGAGGAAAAUCAAUACAGACCAUUCCAAACUCUAGAUUAUACUUUAAUCGGUAUUUUUUAGGGGGUUUGUAAAAAAAAAUUGAAGAAUCAUAGUAAACUUACGAAUCAUAAAUUUAAUUAUUUAUUGACGAUAGGAACGAGUUUCUGACCUAUUAACUUUCGAUGGUAAUUUAGUGGAUUACCAUGGUUUUCAUGGGUAACGGAGAAUUUGGGUUUGAUUCCGGAGAAAAGGCCUGAGAGACGGCCAUUACUUCCAAGGAAGGCAGCAGGCGCGUAAAUUACCCAAUCCCAAUUCGGGGAGGUAGUGACGAGAAAUACUAGUAUUGGUCCCAACGGGAACAAUGAUUGGAAUGAGAACAAUUUAAAAAC
rnacentral:rRNA from 1 species